rnacentral:tRNA from 3 species
GGCCCAUUCGUCUAACGGUUAGGACGCAAGUUUCUCACACUUGAAAUAGCAGUUCGAUUCUGCUAUGGGCUA